CACUUAAUAAUGUAUAUGAAUGUACGUAUUUGCUGUGCGUUCAUAUGCAUAUACAUGUUGCUCCACACAGCGACGCGAGUACUGUAAGAGCGACCCUCGCUACUGGAAAGGGUCAAGGUCCGACUAUAGUCGGCCUCUUUCGCUCCUACAAAUUCAGCAAUGGGCUCGCGUCGCACACACGAUGAUCAUCGAGGACCAUUAGGCGAGGUGCCGUUCGGGCCGGGUGAUAGUAGUGGACACUUUUAUUCGCAGGGCAACAACGGUACUUCGGCCAAUGGGAGAAUGCCUUGUGAUUUGGCAGGAAAGUGGCAUCAGCCUAGAUCACGCCACUUUACCGUUUUCUGCGACACGAGCGGCAGAAAGGCCCCGCUUCAGAGCCUAACAGUCUCCGUUACCACACGAAGCUCGGCCUGUGGCUGGUGUAUAAGGGGCACCACCAGCUCCAUACGAGGUCUUAAUUUCUUAAAUUCUGAAGAGAUAAAAGUGGACAGUUGCGAUAUGGAGUGAAGAGAGUGCCAAAGUAUUACAGUGAAAAGUGAAAGUCAACGCGAGUGGCAAAUCAGAACUCCCAGGACAUCGUGAGAACAGCAAGGACAUCCAGUGGAAAUCCUUGCGACGACUAAAGAGGCAAUCAGGAUCGUCAGCGGCACCAACAAAGACAUUUGUGCAGACCAGCAGCGUAAACGAGGCCUGCAUAUCUGAAUCAGAGGCUAAAGAGUAAAAGUGGAUCUGGACGUUGCUGUUCUAAUACUUGCAAUAUAUUGUAAAUACCUUUGAGUUUAAUGUACAUAACAAAUUACAACAAUAUUUCGUAGUCAGUAAUAAUAAUAUUUUUACUUAUUUUAUAAAUUAUUUAUGCAUCCAAGUAAAAUAAAAAUAUAAAUAAGGUUGCAUACAAAACCGUGUAAAAUAUGUAAUUGUAAUAAAGCUAUCUUUAAGAGCC